rnacentral:lncRNA from 1 species
GAAAUUUCAAAAAAAAAAUUGAAAAGAAAGAUCUGAAAGUGUUUUUUCAGGCAUAAUUAGAAAGUGAAAAAUUAACAAAGUAACAUUAGAAGCUACAAAGCAAGAGAAAAUAAAGUGCUUAAUCCGAAAAUCAAUGCGAUUAUGCAGAAUCACCAGAUUUGUAGCGGUACAGUUUUCCGAACACGUGGAGUGUGGUAACAAAUCCGAUGAAGCAGAGGCUCAUAACCAGCACCACCGUCGGUGAAAAAAAACUAAAUGAAAGUAGUUUUUUCAUUGACUUGAGACACCAGAUGAGGACAUGUAAUCCCCUUCUAUAGUUGGAGAUUGAUGGAGAUCACAUACAAGGAUUCAUUAGUCCGAGACAAAGACACAUGAAAGUUAAGGGACACAUCGAACAUAUGAUCUACAUUUAUUCAGAAAUAAGUAUUACUAUAGUUUGUUCCGCUCAAUAGUUGUACUUUAUAGUCCUAAUUUAUUCUCAAAAUAUUACAAUUAACAAGUAUUAGUAUAAUUUGUCCUACUCAAUACUUAGACUUUAUAGUCCUAAUUUAUUCUCAAAAUAUUACAAGUAGGAUGAAGUUGAUGGCAUUUAAUAAGAGCAACUUUAUAGAAAUUUGAGAGCUUUGAGGAUGAAACUAAGACUUACUAUUGUUUAUGGAGCAAAUGUGUGUUUUGUUUCAACAGGUACGGUGUAUGCAGACAACAAGCUAGGUAUUUAUGAAGUGAACAAAGUGCUUCUUCCACUUGACAUUGUUCUUCCUAAGCCUAAGGCUCUUGCACCCUCACCAGCCAAAGGAGUAUCACCAAAAACUAAGUCACCUGAAGAUGAAAGACAAGAUGGUAGUAAAAGUAACAAUGAUGAUGAUGUUGUUCCUGUUCAUACUAGUUCAGCAGGUUCCUUCAGUUUCAAUAUAAUUUGGAUUCCUCUUGUUCUUGGAGCCAUGAUUUAAGGUUGAUUUCUUAUAUGUUGGGUUUGAUUCAAUGGCUCAAGUUUCACUUUGUGAUUUCUUAUAUCGUGAUUUUUUUUUGUAUUUUUUAGUUCAUGUUUGUUAAUUAAGUUAUGUUAUUUCUUGGAUCAAAUAAUUACACAAAAAUUAAAGUUUAUAAUUUUUUAGCUACAAAAUUGAGCUUUAAAUUGAAUUGGAUAAGAUAACCAUGAAUGCUUUAACCCCUAUCAUGUUUUUUGGGCUACAACUUAAGAUUCAUUAUGAUCAUUUAACAACUCAUGAGUUGUGUUAUUUGUACAGUUAAAUGGAACACCAAUGUAAUGCUUUUACACUACAACAUAACAGACAAUUAUAUUUUGUUCUCUUACACCAUUUCAAAUGAUGAAAAAAUAGACUAUGUAAGGUUCUCAUAUAUGGUGUCUUCACCUAGUUGUUCAAAGUUUUGUAUAUAUAGCUCAAAUUUGCAUAUAUAGUAGGUAAAAGAAUAAAAUAAUUUCAUUAGAAGAGGUGGUCAUAAGGGACUUGUAAUGUUCAUCACUAGGAAUAAUAAGACUAGCCUAUUGUGAAAUUCCUUAAAGCAUAUUACCAAUUUACCAUGAUAAAGAAAGAAAGGAUAUGAGUAAAAUAAGAUAAGAUGAUGAUAUACAUUAUUCUGGAUUAUUAUAUAUAUGAAAAAGAAUUUGUUGAUAGAGACAAAAUCCAUUACUUUUAUUUAAAAAAAUGUCAAUAAAAAUAAACCAAUAAUGAUUAGAAUUUCAAUGAAAAUAAAUACACUAAUACAUUAUAGAUUAUAGUUAAUAAAGUAGAUAAUAAUAAAAUAUACAUUUAUACUUUAUUUUUCAAUCAUAUCUUUAUUAUUUAUUUUUUUCACCCUUUAUUUUUCAAGUUCUUUUCAAUAUAUAGUCCCUAAAUAUGGAUACCAAUGUCUCUUCAUUUCUUUUCAACUUAGUUUCCUAUGUAGAUUAAAAUGAUUAUCUUAGUUAAAUUACGUUAAACUUUUACAUCCUAAGAAUGACAUUUAUUGGAAAGAAAACCACACAUCUCAAAAUGAACUAGUUCCUUAACAAAAUGUGAAAAAAUAUCGUUAUAAUACAAAAAAAAAUUACAUCAUUAAUGAUUUCUUGAGCUUAUAAUAUGUGUCUACGUUAAAUUAUUAAUACUAUGGAAUGGAGAUGCUACAUCAUAACAAUAGUCUCGAUCACAUUUUUUUUAUUAUUAAUUAAAAUAAACUUUGAAUUAUUAAUUUAUCAUAGAAUAAUAAGAAUUUGGUUGCUACUAAUACUAUCAUGCGAAAUUGAUCAUGAUCCUUGUUUGCUCAGAAUGAAUAAUGAAAGAAGACACUGAAAUUUAUAACAAAAAAUAUCAACAAUUAAACAUGUUAAUUGUUGAGAGAUAAGCGAAAUUUCAAAAAAAAAAUUGAAAAGAAAGAUCUGAAAGUGUUUUUUCAGGCAUAAUUAGAAAGUGAAAAAUUAACAAAGUAACAUUAGAAGCUACAAAGCAAGAGAAAAUAAAGUGCUUAAUCCGAAAAUCAAUGCGAUUAUGCAGAAUCACCAGAUUUGUAGCGGUACAGUUUUCCGAACACGUGGAGUGUGGUAACAAAUCCGAUGAAGCAGAGGCUCAUAAC